AUCCCAUGGUGUGAACACUUUCGCAGCGUAUUCUUGAACUGAUUCCAGGCUUCAUCGAAAAUUUUCGAGUCACCUUGGGGAAAAAUAGAGAUGUCGUGCUUGAGCUU
rnacentral:snoRNA from 1 species